rnacentral:lncRNA from 1 species
GUGUGAACUUGUAACUUGGCCAAGGGGCUAUGAUAGACGUGAUAUCGAACGAUUGUUUUCUCUAUGACUGUUGGAUCCAGAUUCAAGUUGUCACGUGGAGAAACUGGAGCAAACACUCUGGAAAGGAUACCUAGAGGUAAACUGAGGCCCAAGUCAGCUGCCAGACUUAUCAGUGGGGCAGCCUGGGAGCAGACAGCAACAGACCUCCCAACAAGGGUCCUUUCUCUUUGUGUCUACCAUGACCGUGGAAGCAGAAUGGGUCAUGCUAGCCAAACCCUGCCAAGGUGCCAAGCCAGGAAGCGGGUAGUCAAAACUUACCAUUAAAAACAACCUCCACCCCAAAAAUUUUUUUAAAUUUAUUUUUGUGUUAUGUGUAUGUGUGUUCUGCUUGCUUGUAUAUCUGUGCACCGUGAGCAUGCAGUCCCUACAGAGGCGAGAAGAAAGCUUCAGAGCCCCUAAAAUUGGAGUCUUAGACUGUUGUGAACUGCUAUGUGGGAGUUGGGAACUGAACUCGGGUCCUCUGCUGAUCCAUCUGUCCAGUCCUGACACUUGGCUAUUUUACGCCACUAAACCUCAGUACUUUGUUUCAGAACGGUAGAUGAUGGAUAACUGUCACUUGCCUGUCAUCGACUGAGUCAGACUUUUCUUAUUCUAAUUGCCUCUGGUCCUGGGGGGAAAUGGUAAGACCAUGGAAGUAUGCUAAACAAACCUGAGACAAUCUAGACUCUCGUACUGGCCACUGUGUCAUCUCAGAGAGGUCUCUCAGUGGCUCUAAACACCACCUUCCCUCAUCAGUAAGAGAGCUAAUAAGAGCACGUGCAUUUGGUGUGAGGGUUAUCGUGAAUUUGAAAUAAAACUCAGUUCCUGGUACAUUGCUUCAUGCUUGGUGGAUGCAUUAAGCCAUUGUGAUUUGUGGUGCGCAUACUCCAUGCAGACCCUGAUCACAUUAUGAGGAGACUGAACAAAACAUACAGAGAUUACCUGCACAGGGCUUAUAUUCCAGGGAAGACAGGGCAAUAUAGGAAAACAAGAUGAGAGCCAAUAGAGCAUGUGACAAAGACAUGGGGUAAGAGGGGGUACUAGGCAGGGUUCUCUAGAGUCACAGACUUACGAGGCUGGAGCAAGCAGGAUCUUCCGUGUCCUUAUAUAAGAUUUCAACAGAGGAUGUGGCCCAGGUUAGAGGUGGGUCUUCUCAACUCAAAAAUCCAGUUUAGUAGUGGAGCUUCCAACUUCAAGUUAAGCAAAAAAAUCCCUCACAGGUGUGCCUCUCAAUCAUGGAGUUUUAAUUAAUUCAGAUGUCAAGUUGACAACCAAGAAUAACCAUCACAGAGGGUUAGCAGAUCAGGGGACAUCUAAGGUAGCAGAUGGCUAGAAAGAGCCACCACCCUUAGGAAAAGCAGACUUCUGAGAAGGGAGACCAGUGUACGCUCAGGUCCUGGAGCUCCACUCCAGGACUCAAAGGGAUCUAGUGCUACCCCUGCAUGGUGGAGAGAGGUGAGUGGGAGGGGCCCGUCCUGACAGCAGGGUUAUUACAACAAGGGUAACUGAUACAAGCCCAGGUUAGGGACUGACCCAGAGCAAUGGCCAGCGUGUGAGGGCCUCAGAGUAACUGGAAACCCUUACCACUGCAGUUCAUCAUUUGAGCAGUCUGUGUUCUUAUACCUCCUAGGCCCACUUGGGAGCACGCCCCUCAGCCCUCUGUGGUGGGGCCUCUGUUCCUCUUACCUAGCGCCCUAGCUGUUUGGGAAGACAUCCAGACAGUGACCUGUAGCUUUUCCCCAGUGCUCCUUCCACACAAGGAGCUCAGCAGGCCAGAUGGCCUGGAGCCAGGCCUCGCUGUGUGUUGAUCCACGUCAGCUCAAGCCACAGGAUGCAGCUGGCCACCUUAGGCCCUGCAGCAGGAAGGGUCAGCUGGCUGACUGCCAUGGACAAAGAAGCUGUUCCAAAAUAUGCUCCUCUUAAGACUAAGCCAACAGGAUGGAAAGACGUCUGUCCAGUGGGCAAGGGCCACAGAGAGAGAGAGAGAGAGAGAGAGAGAGAGAGAGAGAGAGAGA